UACGUAGGGUGCGAGCGUUGUCCGGAAUUAUUGGGCGUAAAGGGCGCGUAGGCGGCUUGGCAAGUGGAUGGUGAAAUCCCUCGGCUUAACCGAGGAACUGCCGUCCAAACUGCUUCGCUUGAGACCGGAAGAGGUGAGUGGAAUUCCCAGUGUAGCGGUGAAAUGCGUAGAUAUUGGGAGGAACACCAGUGGCGAAGGCGGCUCACUGGACCGGUACUGACGCUGAUGCGCGAAAGCGUGGGGAGCAAACGGG
rnacentral:rRNA from 1 species